CGCUGGAUGAGCCGACGGAGAUUUUAGUGUUGGGAGUGUUCCUGCGACUGACGCGCACACGCAUAUAUACGCGCAACAAACAUUUCAUGUAGAGCACAUCGGCCCUCUCGUCAUGAGCCAAUUGCCGCUCUCACCUGCAGGUAGCAGUCCUUUUCCAGGAAGCGUUAACUCAUUCUCCAGCAUACCUUCGUUUCAUCCGGCGCCACAGCUGUUGGAGGCUGUAUGCCACGCAGAUGCCGCUGCAGUGCGAGGUCUUUUGGCGCCUUCUGCUCCUGGACUGUGCGCCUGGUGUGAUGCGGACCGAAACAGUCUUUUACACAGGGCUGCGGCGCUCGCCUCUCCGGAUUGCCUGAUAGAACUGCUCCAGUCCGAGGUGAGGUUUGUCUUUUCACAGAACUUGCAAGGAGAGACGCCGCUUCACGUUGCGGCCCGCUGCGCACGAACAAUCGUUUCGGUUUUGCUUCUUGUAGCCAAGUACGGGGCCGCCUGUGUUCUCGAUCGCAACGGGGAUACCUUUCUACAUGGCUUGCUGAGCAACGAGGGCAUAAGACACCGCCAGCUACUACUGCUCAUAGAGUCGCUGCUCGACCGAGCCGAUGUUACGGGUCAGAUUAAUGUUGUCAACAAUAGAGGGAUGACGCUCUACGACGUAGCGUACCGAUGGCACCCUGAUAGUGCUCCUUUGCUGGAGGUUCUGCUACGACACGGCGCCGUUUCUGGCGCGCUGGUGUUACACGAUGAGGUGGUUUCUCUUAUUAUCACGGAGGAGGAGCAGCGCGAGAACGUGAUGGAUCGCGAACGAUCUUCCUUUGCGUUGCUGCGCCAUGGUGAAGGAACGGAGCGUGCACGGAUUCAAUGGCAGGAUUAUGAGCGACGGAAGCUGUUUGGAAAGGAGAGGAGAGGACGUCGUAUGCGUUUCGACAAGGAGGCGUCAAUGUGGACGUCGCUCAUGGAGAAGGAGAAAAGAUACGCGAGGCGCAUCGCUGGAGACCGCGCGGCGCGAGAGUGCUGUGCCGCGGAACUGCAGCGCAUCGGGAGGGGCUUUGUGGCACGAAGCACUGUCCAUAGACUGUUGCUUCGGAGAAGCAAGGUGCGACUGCUUGCUGAAAAGCUAGCGGAGACCACUGCUAUCGCCGCGCUGCCCAUGGCGGUGGUGGUCAAGGCGGAGGAGAACGUAUUCCCCGGUGCCAAAUUGGAUGAGAAGCUACCGGUACUGGUGGUGCCUCCUGCUGCUCAAGAGGUCCCCUUUCGACGGCUUCCUGAGGCGGUUCUUGUGCACCUUCAGUCCAUCGCGAGAACGCGUCGAGCGAGGCGCCAUUAUCUACACGUAAGACGCAUGACGAUAAUUUUACAGAGGGCGUGGCGGCGCCAUCAAGCCCGGGUCGCCCGCCGACGGCAGCAGGCCGCUGACGUGCUGCUCAGUGCGGUGAAGAGAUACCAUUUCAGCAAAGAACGCCGCACGUUGGUGGAGAAGCUGAUGCUGGUGCGCAUCAAGGUGAAGUUAAGGGAGGUGACACGGCUCUUGACGGGGCUGGUGUGGCGGGAGAACUUUUGCAGCGUGUUCCGCGAAAUCGUUUUCAUGCAGCGGCGUCGCUUGCCGCCCCCACCGGUGCGGCUCUCGCGUUUUCGCCGGCUGCAGCUGCUUGCCGCUAGGUUCGAGCGAUUCGUUUUGCUGGCACAGUUUGCGGUGAGCCUUUUUCUCCUUAUUCACAUGGGGUGCGCUCCGCGAACCAGUGCUUCGAAGAUGCACAACAAGGUGGACAUGGCCUUUCUCUGCGUGGAGCUUGUGCUCAUAUGCUGUCUGCCCUUGUGCUGGUGGCGCUUAUGGGAUGUUGCAGUUGUCGUCACCGCGUUGAUCUGCGCCGCGGCAAGCUGCUACGGCGGGUCGAUUGUGAUUACGCUCUUCACACUCAAGCUCCCGUUCGUGGUGCGUCAGUUUGCGCCUCGUCACUCAGGCACGUGCACAUAUUGUCGCACCAUCGAAUAUUCUGUGGUGUAUCUGCUGAUGUUCGUGCCCUUUUCUGUUGCUGGGAUCGGCUCCACCGUGCGUAGCACUACUGUAAAUCAUCUCCUGCUCACGAGUGGAGGCAAUUGGGGUCGCGUUUUCCUGUCUCUUCUCAGCACAGUGAGCCCGCAGUACACUGUCCUACUUCUGGUCUCCCAGGGGAAAUCGAGCCCGGACAUCGAUUCUCUGUUGCCUCUGCGUGCGCAGCAGAACCGCUACGUCCUUCCAGACGGCGAUGCUCUUUUGCGGCUGCAAAUACCGCUGGCGCAGCUCAUCGUGUUCCGCGCUAUCAUGAGUCUGUAUUGGUGGUCGGCGGUGAUUGUCGGUACCCACAACGCGAUUCGGCAUCACUACGACAUUAGCGACGAGACAAAGCUCAAGUUGAACAAGCAUCGCUUUCGCAACGAGGGCAAGGAGGAACUCUUUGACGCCCAUCGCGCGGCCACUAUCGAGGCCCUUGGGCAGCAGCUCGACGGUGUGAUGUGGGAGGACGACGUGCGCGCUGCCAAGGAGGCCAUCGAAGCCUCUCACUACGACCAUAACACUAACAUCACGGUGCACCGGUUUGUGCGCCGUGUCCAAGAUACGCUAGACAGCCAGGGAGGUGCAAUACUGAGUGCGCAGGCGCUGCAGCGGUCUGCGUCUGUGACGAAGCCGACGACAAAGGACGCUUCAAGGUGGGAUUGCCGCAAUGAGGAUCCGCAUUCGCGUGGCACGUACGACAUUGGGGUGGUGGAGACGGCGCUUGGUAGGAUUGAGCGCAAGGGUCUGGGCGAACGCUUCAUCGAGCGGCAGUGGACUGGUGCGCUGCUGCGAAAGGAGAUGAACUGGGUGCUCAUUGGCAUGCUCGUUAUGGCGUCUGUCAAGCCUAACCUGUUCGCCAUGGAAGCGGCGUUCAGCGCCGUCUUCGCGGUGGAGUUGGCGGUGUCGCUUUACUUUCUCCGGCUCGAGUUCAUCUUCUCCCACUACGUGCGGCUCAUGCUUCGAGUGUUCUGCGUUGUUAUCGGAUUCGUACCUCCUGGCAUCCCGUUUGUCGCUUUUCGAAGCCUACGACUUGUGGAGGGGUGGUCGCUUCUGUUCAGCGUUCCUGGCAUGGUGCGCUGGGGCAUGGUGUACCUCGUCGCCUCGUUCUUGACGAUAUGGAUGAUCUCUUACGUGGCCGCCCUGCAGUUCCUCGCGGCAGCAGAGCUGCAGAUGCGGCCCUCCAUAUGCUCAAGCAAACGCGAAUGCCUAAGAGUCUCGCUACGGGAGCUUAUUCUGCCCGCCUUCACGCCAGAGCAUAUUGAUCCGGUCUCGGAGGCACCUGUGAUGGCGAUGCUCGUUUUUUUCACGCACUUCUGCUUUGCGCCGUUCCUGCUCGCCAUCAUGCUGCACCCCCUUUUGCGGCUGUCCAACUUUAUUGGGCGUUUCUUGCGUCUCGUCGUGCAGAGCCUUCACAAAGACGUUCUGGACUACGUCGAAAACUACCUGGAGGGCGCGUCUUGGUACACCCACUGGGGUCUCAAGUCCAAUGUCUCGGUGGAAGUCAUUGUACGGAUGAAGAUGUGGUUCAAUGACUUGAGUCGCCGUCGCUUCAGCGCUGUCUGGGGCUCGUCGUCCAGCAGCGUCGCGAUCUCAAACCAGUACACGCUGCAGAAAACGUUCAUGAAGAGAUACGAGCCGGUGUCAGAGGAGGAGUGCGCGGCGCUGGCGGAGAUCAUCUGCCGUGGCGAGUUCGCCUCUUUGGAGGAGAACAUCGCGCAUGACCGCCUCAGUGGAAACCCGGUCGCACAGUUUCUGAGCCGCGUUGUCGUCCGCAACGUGUGCGUGCACUACCUUAAUGUUGCUCUCACCUUUGCUUCCAUAGCCUUUUUGUGGGUCGCCGACGCGUCGUUGGACCGCGGUAGCGUUCUCAUCGCCUUUUCGUGUGUGGUUCACUUGUUGAGCGUUGCGGUAUCGAUUGUAGUUAUCCCGCGUGAUUCGACUGCGAUCAUGACGCUGGUGUCGGCGUGCGCACUUCUGUGCGCCGUCGUGCUUGUGCUCGUUCCUGAUCGGCGAUUCCGUAGCUACUACUGUGUGCGAUUCCUCUCACUGCUACGCAUUGGACAGCUGCAGGUGUUUCCUUUUCGCGAGAUGAAACGGGUGGUGAAGAUGUACAUUGGCUCCGCAGUGAAGAUUGUCUUCCCGGUCGCGGUGAUGGGCGGCGCUGCGUACAUGGCAGAGCUGCUUCGCGCACAGGUGUUCAUGGUCCGAUUCAAGCCUCUUGCGUGGAUGAACAUUAACUGGAGUAGCCCAGCGGAGGUGGAGGCUUUGCGGUCUAACGUGUCCUACCCGGAGUUCCUGGCAGCCGUGCCCCGCAGCCGCACUUCGUGGCCGAACGUCGAGGAGACGUCUGCCCUGUUUGUCGCGUAUUUUAGCGAAGAUGCGUACAUCUUUUACUCCAUCUACUGUUUUUGGGUACUACCUGGUAUCUGCAUCUCGACAUGUCUGUCAUAUCUCUUCUGGGUAGGCACCAACCUGAGAGACACGAACCGGCUCAUGGUGGACAUGAUUCCUCUGCUAGAGGAUCCGAUUACCAUGUCUGGUUUCACCUGGUGCCAGUGGCUCUACCGCUACGUAGGGAACGUGAUUCUGCUUGCAAGCCUCGUGUUCGGUUGUAUCUUCAGCCCCACUACCGCAGCGACCUCGGAUGACCUUAUCUUCUUCCUGGGGUUUGAGCUUGCUUUCACCUUCUGCGGGCUGGCCGAGGCGAUCAUGUUGUGCUCCUUUGCGGUGCACCGCUGCGCGCGCUCUAGCGUCAGCUGGCGGGCAUGCCGGGACGACGGAAAACACACGUACGUGCUUUUCGGCGACUGCGUUUUUCUGCUGUGUGAAGUGCUUCAGCUUCUCUACUACUGCGUCGCUGUGGCGCUGUGCUCGACACUUUUGGUAGAGCGCAGUGGCUGCCUCAUAUCCCCAGACGAGUACGCCACCACCUUUGUCACGGUUCGCUUUGUGUUUCUGCUUCGUCUCCUGAGCCGAGAGUUUCUGCUGCCGCUGAUGCGCCACUUCUUGUCGAUGUCCAGCAGCGUUGCAUGCAUCGUAGUCUACUUUGUCGCCUGCGCCAGCGUAUUGGCAGAUGUGUAUGCGGCGGAAACGCGCACUCGGUACACACCCGCGACGUGGUGCGCCGCGUUCGACGCCAUACUCCGCCUCGCCUUCACCUCUGCUAUCCCUGCGAACUUUGAAGGCUACUGGCAACCUUUCAACAGCACCGCCGUCGCCUCGGCGAUGAAGAACAGCUCGACCACGCUAGAUGUGAUCGAGGAGUGCUACACAACGUCGCGCCUGGCCUUUGUGUUGGCUGUCAUUGGAAAGGCAAUAAUGGCCAGCAUCGUAGGCCUCUUCGUCGGUUGUGUGACCACAACGGUGCGCACUGUUUUCCUGCAUCUGCUGCCGGCAAAGAGCUUGUUGCUCUACCGGACGCUGUGUGGUGGUCUGAGCGAGCUGUUGAGGUUCGGCAUGCAAAAUCAUGACGACAUGCGGCCCCAGACACGCCGCCGUAUUCAGGCUCGCAAGUUCAGGCGGAUGUUCAUGCCCGAGGGCAUCCCGUCGUGGUCGGUGCCGCAUUUGCUGGAGGAGCUGGGCAUCUGCCGGCCUGCUCGGCAGCGCCGGUUCGUGUACGCCUUGAUGAGGCUGUUGGAGUACAUGCCGACGAGUGAGAAGCGGCAGGAGCGGGUGCGCGAGUACAUGCAUGUGUGGGACACCUACCGCUGUGGCGGGCCGGCUCAUCUGCUCUUCUCUGAGCUCCCUAUUUACCCUCCCGCCGCUGCGUCGCAGAGAAGGCCGAACCCAUACUACCCUUCAUCUUCACUUGUAACGAUGCGGCGUGACUGCCACAUUGCCCCGCUGCGGCUUGUGCAAGCACUGGCGAUCUUUGAGCUUGGGUUUCCGGCAGACUCGUCUGUGGGCUCGAAGCUGUGGAUGGAUUUUUUCUCGGUGGUGCAAAAAAUGCGCGGGGCGACGUUGCUACAGUCUCUGUGGCGGAUGUACCGCGAGGAGAAGGCGUUUGACACGGACACAAGCCGCUCUCCGUACGAGCGGACGCUGAUCGCGCACCUGCGCCGCGGGUUCCGGAAGCAGAAGCUGCGGAGCAAUAUCCGCUUUCUGAGCUUCGCUUCCUUUCAGGAGGCAAUGCACUACGAACGCGAGGUGUUCAACCCAAGUACUGGCCAUUUCGACUUGUUGAAUCGCUUGCGUGGCCAUUUCAGCGGACUAAGCGCUUCGCCGGAUUUUUGGAAAACGGUUCGCGAUGCUGAGAGUAUGCUGGCUGCCUAACCCGCUAGCCGUGCACCGUUGCAUCUCGGCGGGUGUGGACUGUGCUGAUAUGUGGCGACCUGUCGGGUGGCUGUUUGCACAGUGUGCAGGGCGGUAGUUUUGGUGUUUCCGCGAUCUGUCGUGGUUUUCUCACUUGCAGGUGCGUUGCGCCACCUAUCUGCGACUCUUGAUGCGCUGCGGUGCUGCGUGCUGCAAAGACUUCCUUUUUUCCUGGUUCAGGGUUUAAAGCUCUUUCUCUCUACCUCCAUCUACUUUCCGUGGAACACACGUGCAUGAAGAGUUCGUGCCACUUCUGCUCUCUAUGCAGAUUGCAUUUUGUUUGCCGCUGGCCCCUGAAAUUAUGCUAUGAGUUGUAAGUGCUUGCCGUGCUGUCGCAGGAUGUGGGCAAGAUGGUUGCCGAGUCGGUUCUUGAGUUUGAGCGCCGUCUUUUCUGUGCAGUGAUGCCUGGAAAUUGCAUGAUGCUCCCAGAGACAAACACCGGGCGCGUACGUCUUGGGGGCUACACCGUUUCGUUUCUGUUUCUUUUCCUUAUGCUAUUGCCCAUGGUAAAUGCGUGUAUUUGUGUUUCUUUCGUGGUGGCAGCUGUGCAGCUCCGGACCCGCUCGCUUGUGUAUCUGCGCUCUUUUAUGCGGUGUCUUUUCUUUUUUUUCACAUGCUACGGCUGGAUGCGCUUCGACAGAGGCGCUACUCGUUUCGUGUCGUCGCCGGAUCUCACUCUCUUCAGUCAUUGACGGUUUCGCAGUUGCUCUGCACACCGUUCACUUGAGUUGUGCUGAGGAGCACAUCAACCCAAUGUUUGUGAGGCUCAGUUACAGAGGCGCCGCACAGCCUGGGAGGCGAGGUUCUCGCUGUGCUUUUUUUUGCUCCUCUUGAACUUGUCUAAAGGUCUUCAGAAAGAAAGAGGCUUUUAACAAAUGAAAUGGUUGAGCAGCUUGCACACACGCAAAAAAGAUGCAUCGCGGUGGAGUCGACUGCGGUGAUGUGAAUAGCAUGAUAUCAGCAGUGCUGUUUGUCUGACAUUGGCGUGAGGUGCAGCACUCCGCACUUCGGCAUCUGCGCUGACACUCUUGUGGUGAUCGGGUGCUCUGAUGUUGCUGAUUUGAACAGGUGCUUCUUCAACGCCAACGGGUCGGAGGCCCUUCUAUGCGGCAGCGCCGCGCGGUGUGUGAAUGAGUAGCUCCACAGCUUAGCCGUCGGACAGUUCAUGUAUAGCUCUUUAGACAUUGCAUGGCGUGUGGCAGCUCGAUUUGCACGUUUCCAACGGCCUUGUUGACCUUGUAAUGGUCGAGACGGGGAUACUAACUGUGGAAAGUGAACAGCUGACCGUGACGUACGGCUCUCUCCCCUUUGCGUGUGUCUCGGUAUCGAUGUGGAAUCCGUAUUUGGCGGUGUUCGCCACGGGUGCGAGCGCGGUUGAACUUGAACGGGCAGGCUCGCUGAUCGACUGGGGCCCGGUGAUUUGUGACCACACGAACGUGAUUUUCGCACAUAUCGAUGAUGCGGAGGAGAUUUACAUGUGCAGCUGGGGGUUUGGCUCUGACACCACGCAAGUCUGCAGUUCAAGGCGCAUGGUCUCGCCUCGCGCGAUGUACUUGUCUGGAUAAACUGUGACAGUUUCGACGUUUGGUGUGUGCCUGAGGGGUCGGCCGGAAUAAAAAGAUGCACAAUGAAUGUGCAGGUGGGCAUUCGCCUCUUGCAAGUUGGCGCCGGUGCAUUUUCUCGGCGCAUGUUGCGGCGCUCUCAGCGACGCUCGCACAGCCGGCUGGUUACUGCUUGCUGACCCUUCCCGUUCUCCAUGAGUGUUUUUUUUUUCUUUCCUGAUUGUUUGCUUUUAUCUACACUCCCGUGGCUUUAUCGACCACCAGCUUUCACCUGCAGCACCAGAGCGUUGAUUUCAAGCGCCAUUUUUUGUACAUGUAAAGGCUGAUACACUGCCGCGGGCGAAACCAGAUCCCGAAUGGCGCGUUGUUCAUACCGUCAGCGUUUCUGUGGAGAUGUAAAUGUGCGAAAGCGAACACGAUGUGCGGCUCUUGAGCGCCAUGGGCCGG
rnacentral:misc_RNA from 1 species